GUGGUUUGCUCUUAUGCUUGUUAAGUGUCGCUUUCUACAAACAUAGUGUUUAAAAUAUCCGUAGAUUAAUAAGUUCCAUAUACCUCGAGUGAAUGAAAUCAUGAUAGCAUAGUUUACAACCACUGGCCAUAGUGGAGAGGCGUCUGAGAAAGUUUUAUCAAGGACAAUAAUUACUUCUAAUGGAACGUGGCAUACAAAUAUCACACUGAAUAAGGCGAUAAGAAGCUUAAUAACGAAAAAGUAAGUUAUAAGUCUUUCCUUCAAUACUGUGAAAUAGUUCCGUGCCAGAACGAGAAAUAUAAUUAUCGUUGUAAGUAAUGGAAAAAUGCACAACACAAUCAAAUCAAUAGAAAGAAAUGGAACGUGUAAAUAAUCGAAUCUCUGAUCCAAUACGCAUCUACUCAAUGAAGUUGUUUCAAAACUACCAAUGUCGGUUUUUCUUUUAUCCUCUUG
rnacentral:lncRNA from 1 species